GUGCCACAGGGAGAGGGAGAGAGAGACCUAGCUGUGCCACAGGGAGAGGGAGAGAGAGACCUAGCUGUGCCACAGGGAGAGGGAGAGAGAGACCUAGCUGUGCCACAGGGAGAGGGAGAGAGAGAUCUAGCUGUGCCACAGGGAGAGAGAGACCUAGCUGUGCCACAGGGAGAGGGAGAGAGAGACCUAGCUGUGCCACAGGGAGAGGGAGAGAGAGACCUAGCUGUGCCACAGGGAGAGGGAGAGAGAGACCUAGCUGUGCCACAGGGAGAGGGAGAGAGACCUAGCUGUGCCACAGGGAGUGAGAGAGAGAGCUAUGCCACAGGGAGUGAGCUAUGCCACAGGGAGAGAGCUAUGCCACAGGGAAAUAGCUAUGCCACAGGGAGAGAGCUAUGCCACAGGGAGAGGGAGAGAGCUAUGCCACAGGGAGAGAGAGGCAGCCUACAGGUGUGACUACUAGAUGGUCUGGUUUUGAUUCAACUGGAAAUAGAAGAGGAUACCUCAGUAUAAACACUAGGGCUCUACUCUAGGAGGGAGGGAGGAAGAAAGGAGGGCUCUCCUCUAGGAGGGAGGGAGGAAGAGAGGAGGGCUCUACUCUAGGAGGGAGGAAGAGAGGAGGGCUCUACUCUAGGAGGGAGGGAGGAAGAGAGGAGGGCUCUACUCUAGGAGGGAGGGAGGAAGAGAGGAGGGCUCUACUCUAGGAGGCAGGGAGGAAGAGAGGAGGGCUCUACUCUAGGAGGGAGGGAGGAAGAGAGGAGGGCUCUACUCUAGGAGGGAGGGAGGAAGAGAGGAGGGCUCUACUCUAGGAGGGAGGGAGGAAGAGAGGAGGGCUCUACACUAGGAGGGAGGGAGGGAGGGAGGAAGAGAGGAGGGCUCUACUCUAGGAAGGAGGGAGGAAGAGAGGAGGGCUCUACUCUAGGAGGGAGGGAGGAAGAGAGGAGGGCUCUACACUAGGAGGGAGGGAGGGAGGGAGGAAGAGAGGAGGGCUCUACUCUAGGAGGGAGGGAGGGAGGAAGAGAGGAGGGCUCUACUCUAGGAGGGAGGGAGGGAGGGAGGAGGGCUCUACUCUAGGAGGGAGGAAGAGAGGGCUCUACUCUAGGAGGGAGGGAGGGAGGAAGAAAGGAGGGCUCUACUCUAGGAGGGAGGGAGGAAGAGAGGAGGGCUCUACUCUAGGAAGGAGGUAGGGAGGAAGAGAGGAGGGCUCUACUCUAGGAGGGAGGGAGGGAGGAAGAGAGGAGGGCUCUACUCUAGGAGGGAGGGAGGGAGGAAGAGAGGAGGGCUCUACUCUAGGAGGGAGGAAGAGAGGAGGGCUCUACUCUAGGAAGGAGGGAGGGAGGAAGAGAGGAGGGCUCUACUCUAGGAGGGAGGGAGGAAGAGAGGAGGGCUCUACUCUAGGAGGGAGGGAGGAAGAGAUGAGGGCUCUACUCUAGGAGGGAGGGAGGGAGAGAUGAGGGCUCUACUCUAGGAGGGAGGGAGGAAGAGAUGAGGGCUCUACUCUA
rnacentral:lncRNA from 1 species